ensembl:lncRNA
CUGCAGUCGGGCCCGUGAGAAGCAAUUUGGGCACGGUGCCACCUGGCUGAGCAGCAGUGACUCCGCAGCAGACGAGCCAGGACUGGAAGCUGCCGGCUCCUUCUGCAGCACCCAGGUCCCAACUGCACAUCCUGGGAAGCUGGCUGGGUUCUCUAGCUAAAACACUGACCCCUUCCUCCUGCUGCAAAGGCUAUCGCUUCUUGCUUGAUUACAUCCAGAGGCAAAAGAUUAAUAGAAGAUGUCAUUAUAGAAAUGGAACUGUUUUCUAAUAGAAGUGAGGAGAAUAGCAACAGUAGAAAGUGAGGAAAGGGAUGUCAUGUCCCAUUUCUGCACAACUCCUUGCUCUGCAGUCCAGCACAACACACAUAGAAAGUUGACUUGAAAUUGUGAAACUCACCUCUGAAGAGAACAGGAUAACCAUAUAGACUGCAAGAAGACCAUUUCUGCCGUUUGUGUUUAUAACUGUUAAGUGUCACAAGCCGUCAUCUGAUAGCUCACAUCAAGAGAAGAAUUUACCAAGACACUGAAAUUUCUGAAAUCAGUUGUCUAUGCCCUGGAAAACUGAUCUGAAGGCAGGAAGGAUGAGCAGCGGCCUAAACAUUAAGAUCAGUGGGAAUU